UACGGAGGGUGCAAGCGUUGUCCGGAUUUAUUGGGUUUAAAGGGUGCGUAGGCGGCUUUAUAAGUCCGUGGUGAAAGCCAACAGCUCAACUGUUGAACUGCCAUGGAUACUGUAAGGCUUGAGUACAGACGAGGUAGGCGGAAUGGAUGGUGUAGCGGUGAAAUGUAUAGAUACCAUCCAGAACACCGAUUGCGUAGGCAGCUUACUAGGCUGUAACUGACGCUGAGGCACGAAAGCGUGGGGAGCGAACAGG
rnacentral:rRNA from 1 species